AAGCUUUUGGCUCGGGUUAUAUUUUCACUCGCGGCGUAUAAGACGAGCAAAAAGCUUGU
rnacentral:pre_miRNA from 1 species